AAUUCUUGUGGAAAGCCAUACACCAAUUUGGUUAUUGUCAUAUUAUUGUUGUUGUGAAAACAUUCACAUAUUUUAGUCUUGUGAGGAAUUCUUGUGGAAACAUCAACUUCAAGACAAUCUUGAAGGAAGGAUCAAGGAGCAAUCUUCAUAAGGACAUUUGGACAAUCAUCAAAGGAGGUUCAAAGAUUUUCACAAAUGGAUUCAAGUAAGCUUCUGCUCAUGUAGUUGUAAUUCCGAAUUAUUCGAUAUGAAGG
rnacentral:lncRNA from 1 species